rnacentral:rRNA from 1 species
AGAGGGUGCGAGCGUUAAUCGGAAUUACUGGGCGUAAAGCGUGCGUAGACGGUUAUUUAAGUCGGAUGUGAAAGCCCCGGGCUCAACCUGGGAAUUGCAUUCGAGACUGAAUAGCUAGGGUGCGGUAGAGGGAAGCGGAAUUUCCGGUGUAGCGGUGAAAUGCGUAGAUAUCGGAAGGAACAUCAGUGGCGAAAGCGGCUUCCUGGACCAGCACCGACGUUCAGGCACGAAAGCGUGGGGAGCAAACAGGAUUAGAUACCCUGGUAGUCCACGCCAUAAACGAUGAGGACUAGACGUUGGAGGGUUAAGCCUUUCAGUGUCGUAGCUAACGCGCUAAGUCCUCCGCCUGGGGAGUACGGCCGCAAGGUUG